CUUCAAGAGAUACCGCCUCAAGCUCCGACUGGCGGUGCGCCAACCCCAAGGCUCAUGGGUGGCUCGGAUGACGAAGCGGUCCGCCCCAACCGGUGCGGAUAAGAGCGUCGA
rnacentral:ncRNA from 1 species